rnacentral:rRNA from 1 species
AGUCGAGCGGCAGCGGGUCCUUCGGGAUGCCGGCGAGCGGCGGACGGGUGAGUAAUGCCUAGGAAUCUGCCUGGUAGUGGGGGAUAACUCGGGGAAACUCGAGCUAAUACCGCAUACGUCCUACGGGAGAAAGCGGGGGAUCUUCGGACCUCGCGCUACCAGAUGAGCCUAGGUCGGAUUAGCUAGUUGGUGAGGUAAAGGCUCACCAAGGCUACGAUCCGUAGCUGGUCUGAGAGGAUGAUCAGCCACACUGGAACUGAGACACGGUCCAGACUCCUACGGGAGGCAGCAGUGGGGAAUAUUGGACAAUGGGCGAAAGCCUGAUCCAGCCAUGCCGCGUGUGUGAAGAAGGUCUUCGGAUUGUAAAGCACUUUAAGUUGGGAGGAAGGGCAGUAAGUUAAUACCUUGCUGUUUUGACGUUACCGACAGAAUAAGCACCGGCUAACUUCGUGCCAGCAGCGGCGGUAAUACGAAGGGUGCAAGCGUUAAUCGGAAUUACUGGGCGUAAAGCGCGCGUAGGUGGUUUGAUAAUUUGGAUGUGAAAGCCCCGGGCUC